AAUAGAUACCCUGGUAGUCCACGCCGUAAACGAUGAGUGCUAAGUGUUAGAGGGUUUCCGCCCUUUAGUGCUGCAGCUAACGCAUUAAGCACUCCGCCUGGGGAGUACGGUCGCAAGACUGAAACUCAAAGGAAUUGACGGGGGCCCGCACAAGCGGUGGAGCAUGUGGUUUAAUUCGAAGCAACGCGAAGAACCUUACCAGGUCUUGACAUCCUCUGACAACUCUAGAGAUAGAGCGUUCCCCUUCGGGGGACAGAGUGACAGGUGGUGCAUGGUUGUCGUCAGCUCGUGUCGUGAGAUGUUGGGUUAAGUCCCGCAACGAGCGCAACCCUUGAUCUUAGUUGCCAGCAUUUAGUUGGGCACUCUAAGGUGACUGCCGGUGACAAACCGGAGGAAGGUGGGGAUGACGUCAAAUCAUCAUGCCCCUUAUGACCUGGGCUACACACGUGCUACAAUGGAUGGUACAAAGGGCUGCAAGACCGCGAGGUCAAGCCAAUCCCAUAAAGCCGAUCUCAGUUCGGAUCGCG
rnacentral:rRNA from 1 species